UACGAACCGUACAAACGUUAUUCGGAAUCACUGGGCUUAAAGGGUGCGUAGGCGGCCAUGUAAGUGAGGUGUGAAAUCCCUCGGCUCAACCGAGGAACUGCGCUUCAUACUGCAUGGCUUGAGGGAGACAGGGGUAAGCGGAACUGAUGGUGGAGCGGUGAAAUGCGUUGAUAUCAUCUGGAAUACCGGAGGCGAAGGCGGCUCACUGGGGCUUUUCUGACGCUGAGGAACGAAAGCCAGGGUAGCGAACGGG
rnacentral:rRNA from 1 species